UAAACUGAGGUCACCGUUGCAGGAAGC
rnacentral:piRNA from 1 species